UACGAAGGGGGCUAGCGUUGCUCGGAAUCACUGGGCGUAAAGGGUGCGUAGGCGGGUUUUAAGUCAGGGUGAAAUCCUGGAGCUCAACUCCAGAACUGCCUUUGAUACUGAAGAUCUUGAGUCCGGGAGAGGUGAGUGGAACUGCGAGUGUAGAGGUGAAAUUCGUAGAUAUUCGCAAGAACACCAGUGGCGAAGGCGGCUCACUGGCCCGGUACUGACGCUGAGGCACGAAAGCGUGGGGAGCAAACAGGG
rnacentral:rRNA from 1 species